UGUUUUUCUGAUAACAGCCAUCCUGACAGGAUUCUUGCAACUAUAUGUCUAGCUGACCAAAACCAAGUCAAAUGAUGAUGCCUAAAAAUAUGAGUUCUGCCUUCUACUUGUAGGAGAACAAAUGAAGAGAUGAGCUGUCACAUAUAUAUGAUGAAGCCUGGAAAGCAGAUGUGGCAAUGACUCAGCAUUAACCUUUAGAUGAGGAUGACACCUUAGAAGAUAAACACCUUAGAAGACCAAGAGAGACUAGGAAAUAGAUUUUUACAGUGAAUUACUCACUGGAACACCAUGUGUGGAUAUGGUGUUAGACUGUAAAGUCAAUGCAUAAGACAAAAAUCCAUUCAGGGUCAGCCGUAAAAAGGAAUGAAGUACUGAUACAUGCUACAGUGUGGACCAACCUUCAAAACGUUACGCUAAGUGAAGGAAAAGUGACAAAAAAGUCACUUGUAUGAUUCCAUUUUUAUGUAAUGUUCAGAAUAGGUAAAUCUAUAGAGACAGAAAAAGUAGAUUAGUGAUUGGCAGGGGCUGGAAGAGGUAAAGGGGUAGAGAGUAACUGCAGAUGUGUACCAAGCUUUUUUUUUUAGGGUGAUGAAAAUGUCCUGAUAUUAGAAGCAGUGGUUGUGCCACGCCACCAAAAUGUAAAGGGUGAAUUUUAUAGACUGUGAAUAUUUCAAAAAAUUCAUUUAAGCUUAAUUGCCCUUGAAAGUCCUUCUCAGAGGGGCUAAUACAACUAGUUUUAGCUCUAGUGUAAAAAUGUUGCCUUUUUAACUCUUAUUUUGAGCUCUGUUCCCCCCAAAAUAUAACUUGAGUCAUAUUUGUAUGGGAUUCUCACCUAAAGGGAUUGAGAUCGAAGGUAUUCAAAAGGGAACGUGUAUGUCUGCGGAUACACGAGGGAUUUCCAAGAGGUGCUCAGGCACCAAUACUUUUAAGGGGGUGAAUUCCCGGAUCCUCAACUUGCACGUUAUCUUUUCUAAACUGAUUUGUGGCUAAGCUGUCACGAUAUCCUUUUAUACUUUCCUUCCUCCCACCUCUCAAUUUACAGGAGGAAGGCAUACCUCUUGCCUGUCAUAAAUCCUUACCACAGUAAAAACCUCAAGGUGCCAAACAAUCCGACAGAUUCGAGAUACUGGUGUUGGGGAAGCCUCCUGUAUGAAGUCAAGGUAGCAUAAAACCACGAUGUGGCGUUGUAUUUCUCCUUGCUAUUUCUGGCAAAUAAUUCGGAAGGAAUCCAAGCCAAUUCCGUGACACGAGAAUAGAAUCCCUUUCAUUCACUUCUACUUAUGAGGAACAAGCUAGAAAAAGGAAGCUA